AUUACCUUCCUCCUAAGGUCUCCUUCCGGUUCUCGAUGCUUCUCUGAGUCUAAGGGUUUCCGCCACUCGUCUACCCUCCCCCUCAGCCCAUGACCCGCCUCCGUCCCCCGCCCUCCCGGUCCGACCUCCGAUCGGUUUAGUAAGAAGGUGCUGUUCGGACAGGGAGACGGCAAGAGGGUGGCGCGUCCACUCGGCCUGGACGAGGGAGGCAAACCGCUCCCCUUCAACCCUCAGCUCGCCCUGCGCUCGCGACGGCGGCGUUGGCGGACGGAUACGCGGCGGCGCCUGUGUCUGGCAGAGCCGGUGUGAGAAGAAGAGAGAAUCCUUCCCCGCCGCCGGGAUAAUCAAGAGUUUUGGCCGGACCUUUGAGUACACAUCGGGAUAGUGAGAAGCCCGGCGAAAAGCACAGACUAUGGCGCUGAAACGGAUUAAUAAGGAACUUAGUGAUUUGGCCCGUGACCCUCCAGCACAAUGUUCUGCAGGUCCAGUUGGAGAUGACAUGUUUCAUUGGCAAGCCACAAUUAUGGGACCUAAUGACAGCCCAUAUCAAGGUGGUGUAUUCUUUUUGACAAUUCAUUUUCCUACAGACUACCCCUUCAAACCACCUAAGGUUGCAUUUACAACAAGAAUUUAUCAUCCAAAUAUUAACAGUAAUGGCAGCAUUUGUCUUGAUAUUCUAAGAUCACAGUGGUCUCCUGCUUUAACUAUUUCUAAAGUUCUUUUAUCCAUUUGUUCACUGCUAUGUGAUCCAAACCCAGAUGACCCCCUAGUGCCAGAGAUUGCACGGAUCUAUAAAACAGACAGAGACAAGUACAACAGAAUAUCUCGGGAAUGGACUCAGAAGUAUGCCAUGUGAUGCUACCUUAAAGUCAGAAUAACCUGCAUUAUAGCUGGAAUAAACUUUAAAUUACUGUUCCUUUUUUGAUUUUCUUAUCCGGCUGCUCCCCUAUCAGACCUCAUCUUUUUUAAUUUUAUUUUUUGUUUCCCUCCCUCCAUUCAUUCACAUGCUCAUCUGAGAAGACCUAAGUUCUUCCAGCUUUGGACAAUAACUGCUUUUAGAAACUGUAAAGUAGUUACAAGAGAACAGUUGCCCAAGAUUCAGAAAUUUUUUUAAAACUGGAGCAUGUGUAUUAUGUGGCCAAUGUCUUCACU
rnacentral:lncRNA from 1 species